AGUUGUGCUCAGUGUCGUCUGUAGAGGUUUUCUAGUCAUUUCCUUCAGUUGUUCUUGGUACAGCGCCUCCACAGGCGAGAAGGGGAACAGGUUUUUCAAUGUAAUUAUUGGUUU